rnacentral:rRNA from 1 species
GUGGGGAAUUUUGGACAAUGGGCGAAAGCCUGAUCCAGCAAUGCCGCGUGCAGGAUGAAGGCCCUCGGGUUGUAAACUGCUUUUGUACGGAACGAAAAGCCUGGGGCUAAUAUACCCGGUUGGGAUGACGGUACCCAAAGAAUAAGCACCGGCUAACUUCGUGCCAGCAGCCGCGGUAAUACGAAGGGUGCAAGCGUUACUCGGAAUUACUGGGCGUAAAGCGUGCGGAGGUGGGUAUUUAAGUCCGUUGUGAAAGCCCGGGGCUCAACCUGGGAAGUGCAGUGGAUACUGGAUGACUAGAAUGUGGUAGAGGGUAGCGGAAUUCCUGGUGUAGCAGUGAAAUGCGUAGAGAUCAGGAGGAACAUCCAUGGCGAAGGCAGCUACCUGGACCAACAUUGACACUGAGGCACGAAAGCGUGGGGAGCAAACAGGAUUAGAUACCCUAGUAGUCC